GAAAGAAUAUUUCCCUACAAAUAUAUUUUUAUUGGAAAAUAUUCAAACAGUGAAAUAUCUGUUAUUUAACAUAACUUUAGAUUCUAAAUUAUGAUGAGUUUGUCUACAAGUAUUUAUCCUAUUACAUUUACCCAAUUAUUUUAAACAUUUACCUAGAUUAUUUAUAAAAACUGCAAUUGUCAUUAUUUAAAGUUAUGGAACCACCAUUGCAAAAUUAUAACUGAGACAGUGAAAAAGAUUGACCUAACUGAUGCAAUCUUGCUUCUAACCUCCAAGCUAACCUUGUUCAUUCCUGGGCAAUGGUCGAACUAACUUUGGGAGAAACUUAGUUUAUAGUUUAGCUGAAACAAAGACUAUAACAGUUUAUAAAAUAAACCUUACUGCCUGUGGACUAGACCACCUAAAGCUACCAGAUUAGAAGUUAUGAUAAUCUUACUAAAUUUAAGGGGUAGCUAUUUUUAUUAAACCAAUAUUAAUGCCUUACUUAUUAAAGAUUAUGCAAGCAAAGAUCAUUCCAUCUUGGGCUGGGUUUAUAGUUUCAUAACCCCUAUGCCAAAUUUUGACACCUUAUGGUAUUUGUCAGGGAUAAGUGUGAAAUUGCUUGAUUAAUAAAUGCAAACAAAAUGUAUGCUGGAAAUUCUUAAGACAUUUCUAAUAUUACUUUGCCAAUAAUUUUAAAGCUAGCUUAUUUAUUAAAGAUUUUACUUAAGUUACAUAAGCUUGAAAAAGCAUUUAACUCAUCUUUUUUCCACCGAUAACAUAUUUGAUUCAAGUGUGUUUCUUAUCUAAUAAUUGAUUCAAGCCAAUAAGAGCCCUUUUAUAUAUUUUCAGUAGUGAAACAUUGCGUACACAACACAUAAGUACAUAGAUAUAUUAGUUAUGCCAAUAGAGGUACAUCUCAUAGGUUUAUAAAAACUUUUUUUUCCUAUCUUAGACUUUCAGAUUCUUGAUAACCUGUUUCAGGAAACAACACAGGUGAAAAUCAAGUAGCAAAAUUUGUAUCAUUAUUAGGUACAGAGAGAAGAAGUCUGGUGGUGCUAGAAGGAGACUAAAGAUGGAUGCCAAGUCAAACAAAAUUACAGAAAUCUAUCAUAGGCUUGCAUAAGGAGACCAGUUUUAUUUAGCCAGGGACUUCCUAUCUUUUAACUGGAUCUCUGAGCUCUGGGAAGAGCCCACAGGGAAUCGUGGGUCUCCAAAAAUGAGAAUUAUUAUGAGGUUAGACACAUGAUGCUAUUACAGUGCACUUAAAAAUUUUUUUUUAAACAAAGACAUUUCUAAGUGUCUAAACCACACUCUUCCUUAAAAACCCACGAGUAACCUCUGUUGCAAUAACUAUUUUAGUCAAACAAACAAACAAACGGGUAGCACACUACAAAAGUAAGCAAUUUAAUUGCUGAGAUGAACUUGUCUGUUUACAUUCUUGGGGUUUCAUAAGAAGAAACAACUUUCUCCCCCGAAAAGAGUCUGGUGCCUUCUCCAUUUUCUUAAAGGAACCCCAGGCUGUUAUAAAUUAUUUUAGUUCCCCCAUGCAGCAGAGGGCGCAAGAGAAAGGGAAGACAGCAAAAGUAAAUGAAGAAACAGAAUUCAGUCAACUGAGAAGAAAAAAACUUUUGCUCAGAAAAAGACAAGGUCCUAGGAGAAAA